rnacentral:rRNA from 1 species
ACUUUGGGAUAAGCCUGGGAAACUGGGUCUAAUACCGGAUAGGACUACGGCCUGCAUGGGUUGUGGUGGAAAGCUUUUGCGGUGUGGGAUGGGCCCGCGGCCUAUCAGCUUGUUGGUGGGGUGAUGGCCUACCAAGGCGACGACGGGUAGCCGGCCUGAGAGGGUGUCCGGCCACACUGGGACUGAGAUACGGCCCAGACUCCUACGGGAGGCAGCAGUGGGGAAUAUUGCACAAUGGGCGCAAGCCUGAUGCAGCGACGCCGCGUGAGGGAUGACGGCCUUCGGGUUGUAAACCUCUUUCAGCAGGGACGAAGCGCAAGUGACGGUACCUGUAGAAGAAGCACCGGCCAACUACGUGCCAGCAGCCGCGGUAAUACGUAGGGUGCGAGCGUUGUCCGGAAUUACUGGGCGUAAAGAGCUCGUAGGUGGUUUGUCGCGUUGUCCGUGAAAACUCACAACUCAAUUGUGGGCGUGCGGGCGAUACGGGCAGACUGGAGUACUGCAGGGGAGACUGGAAUUCCUGGUGUAGCGGUGGAAUGCGCAGAUAUCAGGAGGAACACCGGUGGCGAAGGCGGGUCUCUGGGCAGUAACUGACGCUG